rnacentral:misc_RNA from 1 species
GAUGAAGAACGUAGCGAAAUGCGAUACGUAAUGUGAAUUGCAGAAUUCAGUGUAUCAUCGAGUCUUUGAACGCACAUUGCGCCCCCUGGUAUUCCGGGGGGCAUGCCUGUCCGAGCGUCAUUGCUGCCCUCAAGCACGGCUUGUGUGUUGGGCCUCCGUCCUCCUCCCGGGGGACGGGCCCGAAAGGCAGCGGCGGCACCGCGUCCGGUCCUCGAGCGUAUGGGGCUUCGUCACCCGCUCUUGUAGGCCCGGCCGGCGCUUGCCGACACAUCAAUCUUUUUUCCAGGUUGACCUCGGAUCAGGUAGGGAUACCCGCUGAACUUAAGCAUAUCAAUAAGCGGAGGA